rnacentral:lncRNA from 1 species
CUGAUACAUUCUGUCUUUGGAAGCUGUAGAAAUAACAAGAAAGAUGCUGACAUAGUGUUUUGGUAGGGAAAAGUUUGAGUAUGUACAGUUGUUUGACCUUUCUUUCCCUAUGGCAGUCCAAGAAGAUGUUACUAUUAUGAAAAAUGCAGGAGAACUUGAAGACAAUGGUUAGUGCAGAAGGGACAUAAAAGGUAUGAUAAAAGUAACAGAUAUAAAUAAGAAGUGCUACAAGUGUGUUGUCAUGUGAAAUGGACUUUACCCCAACUAUGCUGCAUGAUGUAUAUUCAAGUGCGAGACAGCCAUGCACCAGCUGUAAACUGAGAUGGACCCAUAUAAUAAAUAUGUUGACUUUUCUAUGUAUUAUCAUCUGUACAGAAUGUGUUCAUGACAAGACUGUAUACAUAUAUUGUUAAAUUAUUUUUUAUUUCCAUUAUUGCAUGCAUGUAAGAAGCAAGCAUUUAACAAUUGCAUUCAUAGAAAUGUUAAAAUGUGACCAAUCUAAUUUAAAAAUGCCCAUUUAAUUGGACUUUUUAAGUUCCAUAGUAUUUGUGGUGGAGAAUGACCCAGUCAUUCAGCAACUUAUACUGUCUGUGUGUCAUUUCUUGUAUGUUAUAGUUUUCUUAAUAAUACAUUAAAUG